AACAGUAGCUCAAUGGUAGAGCGUCUGACUCCAGAUCAGAAAGUUGUGAGUUCAAAUCUUACCUGUUU
rnacentral:ncRNA from 11 species